ensembl:lncRNA
UUUUACUUGGCCCACAAGGUAGCAAAGUUGAGUUCUGUGUGUAUAAUUUUUAGGCUCGUGAUCGCCCCCUAGGUGGUACUGCACCCUUAAGCACACUUCCUGAAGUGUGUAACGUUCAGCCAAUCACAUGUGGCCAAUUGAUCAGCUGCUUGACGCAUGCUACUCAUGCACAAGGGCCACAUAUUGUGUGAAGGCAAGAUUUUCACUUGGAGAAUGUCAGAAGAGCCAUAAUGCAAAGAAGGAAGCCAAGAAUCCGGCCUGUUGAUGAUGCAACAUCACACAUUCUUUCUUCGGGAGAUAAGCAGGGGCUUACUCAAAACGUCAUUGAUGAUUACAAAGGACCGGGAGUGUUUGCUACCAAGAGAUUUGAAAAAGGGGAUUUUGUCGUGGAGUACAGGGGUGAAAUCAUCUCUUUCGAAGAAUGUCAGUCAAAAAAGUACUCCACUACAGAGAGUACAUAUCUUUAUGAAUUUGAAUGGAAGAAUCAUAGAUGGUGCAUUGAUGCAUCCAGAGAAGAUGGGUCACUUGGACGAUUGGCGAAUGACGACCACAAAGUUUGCUCUGAGAAACAUAGAACCAGGAACUGAAAUUGUCUACAACUAUGGGGACUCAAAAUGGCCCUGGCGUAAAAAGGAGAACCUUGAGAAUGCCAACGUUGGGUCAGAUGAACCCAAGCUGUUCCCUGAUCAUGUUACUACUCAGGAGAACCUUGAGAAUGCCAACGUUGGGUCAGAUGAACCCAAGCUGUUCCCUGAUCAUGUUACUACUCAGUAGAACCUUGAGAAUGCCAACGUUGGGUCAGAUGAACCCAAGCUGUUCCCUGAUCAUGUUACUACUCAGGUGUUUUCUGUCGGCGGAAUUUCACUUGUGGAUUAUUCUGACUGAUGAAACCAUGGACGCCAGAGGAGGGUGUAGCAAUUAAGAGGCAAUUGAGAAGGUUUUAAUAAUGAAUAUGACACCGGGUAAGGCAGAUUGUGAAAAAUGCCUUUCCGAAGAACCUGAGGCACUCAAAAACCGAGACUGGAAGGCUGUAAAAUACUUAGUGAAAAACAGAAGUUAUGAACAGAGAAAGAAAUCGAUGUAAGAAAAAAUAGGAAAGGUUUUUUCUCAUCUCUUGGAUUGUUGGAUUGAUGCAAAAGUCAGGUUUUAUUACCAUGCAAAAUGGUAGAAAUGUUCACAAUACAGUUCACAAAGGUUCAACCUAUGCCUGCCUUCGGCAUUCAAGCUAUUGUUAAAAAAAAAAGUAAGUUGUUGCUGUUUCGAUUUUCAUAUUCACGUCAUAAGAACUGAAACUACCGAUGGCAUUAUGGUCUUUUUUUGUCACUUUACCAUACCAAGUAAUACUCAAAGUUGAAUAAAAGUGAGAAAUGUGAGUAAACUCUGAUUAUUUAAUUACUCAUGGAUAGAAAUCGGACAAAUGGGAGAGGGAGGUCGAUGUUCAAGCUGGAAAGUUAAAAACAAAAUGC